GACGAACGCUGGCGGCGUGCUUAACACAUGCAAGUCGAACGGAAAGGCCUGCUUUCCCUUGUGGAUUGCGGGUACUCGAGUGGCGAACGGGUGAGUAACACGUGAGUGAUCUGCCCCCAACUUGGGUAUAAGCCUGGGAAACUGGGUCUAAUUCCCGAUAGGACUGCAGGGUGGUGCCUGUGGUGGAAAACGAUUUUCUAGUGGUUGGGGAUGAGCUGGCGGCCUAUCAGCUUGUUGGUGGGGUAAUGGCCUACCAAGGCGGCGACGGGUAGCCGGCCUGGGAGGGUGGACGGGCACAUUGGGACGGAGAUACGGCCCAGACGCCGACGGGAGGCAGCAGUGGGGAAUAUUGCACAAUGGGCGGAAGCCUGAUGCAGCGACGCCGCGUGGGGGAUGACGGCCUUCGGGUUGUAAACUCCUUUCGACCGCGAGGAAGCCACCUGGUUGGAAGGGUGGUGACGGUAGUGGUAGAAGAAGCACCGGCUAACUACGUG
rnacentral:rRNA from 1 species